UUGGUUCCUUAAUCCUUCCCAACUUCCUUUCCAAUCGGUGUAUAAUGGCAGAAUGGCGAAACAAUGGUGAUCAUCCAUGCUGCAUUUAUGAACUCAAUGGUCUAGGGUUUGUAAAAUCUGUUCGUGAAUUUCUGUGACCUUCCUUCUCCGAUAAUCGGUGGAUUGGUUCUGAAUGUAUUAGGGUUUUAUCUAUCGGAGUUGGGAUUCUUCAGUUUUCUGAGUUGGGGAAGAAACGAUGGACGAGAAAACGGAUAACAGUGGUGCGAAGAAGGUCAUGUCUCCUUGCGACGUUGAAGCUUUGAAGAAGUGUUUGGACGAGAACAAGGGCGAUCACCUGAAAUGCCAGUCGCAAUUGGAAGCUUUCAGGUCUUCGUGUUCUAUCAAGAAACCAACUUCGACCCCUCAACCCUCUCCCAAGCUCAGACGUGGUUCCAUGUCCGAUCUUUGAAAACCGGAAAAAGGUUGCCUUUAUGAGUGGGACUCACUAGUCCCUUACAGGGUAUAGACAGAAGAUUAUAUAUGUACUUGUAAUUGCAAAUAUGAUCUUGCUCUGAAAUCUAUUUGAUAUUCUCUGAAUUCUUCUACUGGGUGUUAGUGUACAAUUUUGAGCUUAAAUCUAACAUUGGAGAGUGUUAUACAUUCAAACAUGUUUCCCUUUUAUCA